rnacentral:rRNA from 1 species
GAACCUUACCAGCUCUUGACAUUCGGGGUAUGGUCAUUGGAGACGAUGACCUUCAGUUCGGCUGGCCCUAGAACAGGUGCUGCAUGGCUGUCGUCAGCUCGUGUCGUGAGAUGUUGGGUUAAGUCCCGCAACGAGCGCAACCCUCGCCCUUAGUUGCCAGCAUUUAGUUGGGCACUCUAAGGGGACUGCCGGUGAUAAGCCGAGAGGAAGGUGGGGAUGACGUCAAGUCCUCAUGGCCCUUACGGGCUGGGCUACACACGUGCUACAAUGGUGGUGACAGUGGGCAGCGAGACAGCGAUGUCGAGCUAAUCUCCAAAUGCCUUCUCAGUUCGGAUUGCACUCUGCAACUCGAGUGCAUGAAGUUGGAAUCGCUAGUAAUCGCAGAUCAG